rnacentral:lncRNA from 1 species
GUAAACCCCACUUAGAACAAAUUAUUUCCUCUUGCCUGCAUAUCAGUAAUGAUCUGAAGGUCUGCCAUCCUUAUAAUUUUUGACAUUAAAUGGUACUCGUUAAGAGAAAAGGUUGGCCAAGCUAAGCAUACAAUUCAGAAUAGGGGAGAGGGUGCAAAAAAGGCACAUGAUUACCAACAAAUGAAAGUUCAAAUAAGAAAUUAUAUUAUCAUGACACAUCAAAGGAAAUUUAAUAGUCCUUCAUCUACGCAAUCGAUUGCCAUUAUAGGUCCAUAAUCCCUGCAAUAUCGAACCCAAUUCUUCGGUUCACAUAUCAAAGUUAAUAUGCAACAUCAACCACCAAUUAGCCAUUGAAUCUUAGUCUAUAUGUGAGGAAGGAAUAUGACGCUAUGGAUAUCGAGUCUAACUGACAAAUCUGUUUGCUUGAUGUGCUCUUUUGGGCCCAUUUUAAAUUCAAGCAUUGGAACUAUCAUAUAUCACACUAUUUGGUAAGUACACGAGAUGAGAAGGCAUAUGCAUUCAAUGUCAACUACAACAUAAAAUUGCAUAAAUCCACAUAUUAAUGGUCCGUGUUUGCAAUAUAAAGCAAAAAACCAAAGUCAUAUUGAAGUAUGGACAACUUGUAUGUCAUAAAAAACUUGAGAGUAUAACAAGUACUUGAAAAUAAUCAGAACUCAAAAACUACAAAUAAAACUUGAUAUGGUUGAAUAUAAGCCAUAGUAAAUAUAAGUAAGACAAUGAGAUCCUUCCAAUUAGUGUUGAGAAUUAGAAAUCCUAAUUCUAUUUCACCGAGAGCAAUCAAUAAGUAGAAAGAAAUAAAGAUACACAAAACUUAUAGAAGUUUGCAUCAAUGUAAAACUAUGUCAUCUUCAACCGUUGUAGUAAUUCAAUAUGAUGAAAAGUUUACAAGAAAAAAAUUGCACAUCUAUCUUCUCUAACCCCUCUUUCUCUCUUUAAUGAUGGUGAUUAAAAAGCUUAAUGACGACUCCCUAUUUAUAAGACAAAUUAGGAUAAAACCAAAAUUUACAAAAACUCAAAUUCCUAAGGCAAAAUUUAUGACACAAAUUCAUGAACUGCCCAUAAUGAAAUAUUGGUCUGGAGCUUCGCCCCCUACACCCCCGAGAGGGGUGACUUCCAGGCCCCUUCCAACCCCAAGGUGACCUCAUUGCGAAGAUUAGAUUCACGUAUUGAUUUCAUGAAGCAAUAAUAAUUAGGCUCCAUAACUUAUAAUUAGAGUAAUUAUCUUUUACUCAGGACCACAGUCUAUGGUCUCCUUUCAAAUAAUUUCACAUUGUUCCCUAAUGUGACGAGAGGCUACAUUCAAUUCAAAACGAACUAAAAUGCUACCAAAAAAUUAAGUUAUGAAGAAGAGAAAUAUUAAACUAAAUAUAGCCUCCAAGAAGACUAACAGUGUGUCCAAUGGAAUUUUAGGCUACUGUAGAAGUCGGUGGAGAGGUAGGUAGGAGGGGAUUUAGUUGAAGUUCUUAUCGAGAUAGAAACAGGAAAAUAUAUCUACUAUGAAAGGAAAUGAAGAAAAACAAGAAUAAAGAAAGAAAAUUUGCAAAGAAGAGAAAAAUUACUUAGCAUAUAAGAAAUAAUUAUAACUUGUUCAUGACCUUGUUUAUAUUUGAUUAUACAUUUCAAAUAAUAUAGUUCCUCACAUAGAAAGCAAGCUUAACUUACGUCUAAAAUGGAUUCAUAAAUAAGUAGUCCCAAAAAAACUGAAUUGACCUAAAUAUACUACUUAUACAAGCAAAACUUAUCAUGAAUACAACCUAUGACAUUAUUAGAGCGAUCUUCUACUUACAAAACAAUGAUACUUCCAAACAACACAAGGGACAGGGAAAGGGGAACAUCUGCUGGAAGAGGUGGGAUAAUUAAUGGAGUUACUACUCAAAAUACAAACAGGGAAAGAAAGUCCGAAAUAAAAGGGAAGGAACACAAGAAAGAAAGAAUUUUUUAUUUUAUUUUUAUUUUUUUGCAACAGACAGAGAAAUAAUAUGCAUGAAAUAUCACAACAGUAGCAAAAACAAAAACUGUAUUAAUAACCAAAGAUUAAGAUUAUAUGAUGUCAAGAAUAUUCAUAACAAGAUAGCAUGAUAUAUGUCAAGAUUGAAUAGCCAGUUAAAAAAAAUAAAAAAUACUCUGCUCUUUUCGAAAAUAGGCAUGGGAAAACCCAGUCAACCAGUGGCAAAUUCAUCCAGUUCCUGGUUGGACAGGUUGGCUGACCACAUAUACACUUUUUGGACUAGUUCCCUGUUUCUCUGUUCAAACUAGGGGGGAACACAAUUAGAUUUGAGUGGUUUGAGACAAAUUUUCAAACCAAACUCCUUAAACCAAUUUGAAAUUUUUUUCAAACCAAACUAAACCACUUUGAUUUCUAAACCAAAUCAAN